ACCUAAUUUCCCUCUUCUAAUUUCUCUACUGGGUGGCCGGAAAUCGCCUUCGCCACCUACCACCUCUCACACACCACUCUCCCGCCCUUGACCACCAUUGACCGCCGCCAGAAAUUGCCCCAGGUGGUGGACCACCAUCAAACAACCCCAAAUUUUCACUAUACAACCUCCAUCUCCUCCUCAUCCCUAAUCUGUCACCCAUUUCCUCUAAAAACACCCGAGCUACACGAUUAGUAGAUCUAGGAUUUGUCGAAUAACCUAAAUCGACCCCUUCCCUUUUUCUAGUUGGUUUCGGCACUCUUGAAAUUGCAACUUACAUAAAUCGACCGCUCUUAGCAAAAGCUAUUGAUUGAUGUUGGUUGUAGUUCAUUUCCCGGUCACCGGUACCGGUCAAUCCACCGUUGACAACCAAAAUCGACCGAUACUUGUUGUUGUUUCCUUCAUCUAACUCUCAUGAGUCUUUCUUCCAAGAUGACCCCUCAGGAUUUCAAAUCCAAGACGAAUCUCUUGGAAGACAGACUUAUGAUAGUCCAGUAACAUGCGGUGGACAUCCCUAAAGUCCUCUGGCCCUUCGCCGUCGAGUGAUCUAGCCACAAGUUGGUUUGAUUGUAAGCUUAGGACCUAGAUAAGUCUUCAUCUUUGAUGGGUGAUAAUGUGGAGGUUGCAACUUUAUAAAUUCGACUAGGUAUCAGCCGAAAAUGAUGUCAUCAUGAUUGUUAUGAGAAAUGAUCAAAGGUUUUGUUCAUAAUUGGUGAUAUAAACAUUUUGUAAUCUACAUUUAGAAAUAAAAUGGUGUAUUCUGUAAUUUGUAUUGUAGCCACAUAUAAACGGCUAUUCGACUGGUUAUUUACAUAAAUCAUGAAUGCUGAAUUGAUAGAU